rnacentral:rRNA from 1 species
GAGGAAGGAGGGAGGCGUGCCUAAUACAUGCAAGUCGAGCGAACAGACGAGGAGCUUGCUCCUCUGACGUUAGCGGCGGACGGGUGAGUAACACGUGGAUAACCUACCUAUAAGACUGGGAUAACUUCGGGAAACCGGAGCUAAUACCGGAUAAUAUAUUGAACCGCAUGGUUCAAUAGUGAAAGACGGUUUUGCUGUCACUUAUAGAUGGAUCCGCGCCGCAUUAGCUAGUUGGUAAGGUAACGGCUUACCAAGGCAACGAUGCGUAGCCGACCUGAGAGGGUGAUCGGCCACACUGGAACUGAGACACGGUCCAGACUCCUACGGGAGGCAGCAGUAGGGAAUCUUCCGCAAUGGGCGAAAGCUUGACGGAGCAACGCCGCGUGAGUGAUGAAGGUCUUCGGAUCGUAAAACUCUGUUAUUAGGGAAGAACAAAUGUGUAAGUAACUAUGCACGUCUUGACGGUACCUAAUCAGAAAGCCACGGCUAACUACGUG